AAUGAACGCUGGCGGCGUGGAUAAGACAUGCAAGUCGAACGAAGGAAUUGAAUAGCUUGCUAAUUAAUUCCUUAGUGGCGGACGGGUUAGUAACACGUGAGUAACUUGCCUCAGAGUGGGGGAUAGUCCUGGGAAACUGGGUUUAAUACCGCAUAUGCUCUACGGAGUAAAGGUGGCUUCGGCUACCGCUUUGAGAUAGGCUCGCGUCCUAUCAGCUAGUUGGUGAGGUAAUGGCUCACCAAGGCGACGACGGGUAGUUGGUCUGAGAGGACGAUCAGCAACACUGGAACUGAGACACGGUCCAGACACCUACGGGUGGCAGCAGUCGAGAAUCAUUCACAAUGGGGGAAACCCUGAUGGUGCAACGCCGCGUGGAGGAAGAAGGCCCUAGGGUCGUAAACUCCUGUCAUAGUAGAGUAAGGCAUAGUAGUUAAUAUCUACUAUGUUUGAUAGUAUACUAAGAGGAAGGGACGGCUAACUUCG
rnacentral:rRNA from 1 species